ensembl:lncRNA
GCGACGUUUUCAGGCCGUGGCAUCCUCCGCACUCGGAGCCUGGGAUGCAGCAGGCGGGCAGAACUGUUGGAUGCAUGCAAUGGCGCGCGGGGCUGUCGACACCGAGGCGGAUAAACGCAGGCCCCACCUAAAAGAACUGCCGGCCUCUGAGGAAACAGGUGGCUGGGACUUGGUCACGGACCCCCGUCCGUCUCUGUCAGAAGGCUGCUUCUAGGGCAUGGAUCCUCCGGCACUUUGGCCUGGGCCUGUGCAUUCCUGUGAGCAGAGAAAGCCCUGGUGGAGUGGAGGAGCUUGCAGACAAAAGCUGUAGCAUGGCUUGAUGAGCAGUGCCAAGUCUGCACCUGGGAUCUGAACGUGCAAACCCUGGGCCACUGAAGCAGAAAGUGUGAACUUAACCACAACACCACCAGGCCAGGCCCUAAAGUAAUGAUUAAUAAUUGUGGCGUGUGGGAUGCUGCCUCAGCGUGGUUUGAUGAGCAGUGCCAUGUCUGCGCCCAGGAUUUGAACUGACGAAACACUGGGCAGCCUGCAGCGGAGCACGCAAACUUAACCACUCAGCCAUGGGGCCGGCCCUGAGUUAGGGUUAGUAACAGUCUAUUUUAAGUUGAUAACAACGUAAGUUUGAAUGCAUGCUAAAGCUCUACACUGUUACUCUCUACCCCCACAUUUUAUGUUUUUGAUGUCACACUUUACAUCUUUUUAUCUUGUGUAUCCCUUAACUAAUUAUUGUAAUCAUAGUUAUUUUUACUACAUUUGUCUUUUAACCUUCAUACUAGCUUUAUAAGUGACUAGUCCACUAUCUUUACUAUAUAUUUACCUUUACUAGUGAAAUUUAUUCUUUCACAUGUGCUCUUGCUACUAAUUAGCACCUUUUCUUUUCAACUUAAAGAAGUCCCUUUAACAUUUCUUAUAAGGCCAGUUUAGUGGGGAUGAGCUCCUUUAGUUUUUGCUUGUCUGGAAAACUAUUUCUCUCUCCUUCAGUUCUGAGUGAAAACAUUGUCAGGUAGGGUAUUCUUGGUUGGAAGUGUUUUUCUUUCAGUUCUUUGAAUAGAUCAUGCCACUCCCCUCUGGCCUGCAGAGUUCCUGCUGAAUAAUCUGCUGAUAGGGGCUGGCCCCGUGGCCAAGUGGUUAAGUUAGCAGACUCUGCUUCAGUGGCCCAGACUUUUGCCAGUUUGGAUCCUGGGCGUGGACAUGGCACCACUCAUCAAGUAAUGGUGAGGCAUCAUCCCACAUAGCACAACCAGAGGCACUUACAACUAGAAUAUACAGCUAUGUACUGGGGGGCAGCUUUGAGGAGAAGAAGAAGAAAGGAAAAAAACAGAAGUUUAGCAACAGAUGUUAGCUCAGGUGCCAAUCUUAAAAAAAAACCUGCUGAUAGUCUUACGGGGGUUCACUUGUACAUAACAAGUUGUUCUCUUGCUGCUUUUAAGGUUUUCUUGUCUUUUUUUCUUUUUUUGAGGAAGAUUAGCCCUGAGCUAACAUCUGCUGCCAAUCCUCCUCUUUUUGCUGAGGAAGACUGGCCCUGAGCUAACAUCCAUGCCCGUCUUCCUCUACUUUAUACGUGGGACACCUGCCACAGCAUGGCUUGCUGAGUGGUGCCACGUCCACACCCGGAAUCCGAACCAGUGAACCCUGGGCCACCAAAGCAGAACAUGCCCACUUAACCACUGCGCCACCAGGCUGGCCCCUUGUCUUUAAUUUUUGACUCUUUAAUUAUAAUUGUCUUGGUGUGGGUCUUUUUGGGUUCAUCUUUUGAAACUCUCUGGGCUCCCUAGAUCUGGAUGUCUAUUUCCUUCCCCAGAUUAGGGAAGUUUUCAGCCAUUAUUUCUUCAAAUAAGUUUUCUGCCCCUUUCUCUCUCUCUUCUCCUUCUGGGACUCCUAUAAUGCAAGUGUUAGUCUGUUUGAUGUUGUCCCAUAAGUCCCUGAAGCUGGCUUCACUUUUUUUCAUUCUUUUUUCCUUUUGGUGCUCUGAUUGGGUGAGUUCCGCUGCCUUGUCUUCGAUUUCACUGGUCCUUUCUCCUGCUUCGCCUAGUCUGCUAUUGAGCCCCUCCCACGUACUCUUCAGUUCAGUUAUUGUAUUCUUCACCUCUGUGACUUCUAUUCUUACUUUCUUAUACUUUCUGUCUCUUUGUUGAAGUUCUCACUGUGUUCAUCCAUUCCUCUCACCAAGUCUUUUUAUACUCUAAUCUCAGAAGUGAAGAUCCAUCAUUUCUGCCAUUAACAGAGCAUGGGCACCAUGAGGGGCUCACUAGGGGCUUUCACAGGCUCUCAUCUUCUUUCAUGCUCUACUCUAAGCACUGCCUCUGAGCUGCUCCCAACAGCUAUACUUGCUGGGCACUUAGGAGUUGAGAAUGAAUGAACACCCCACAUCUGUGCACAUCUGCUAACAUAUGUUCAUCUCCUUCCUCUAGAUUGUUCCCCCCACUCCCACCCCACCUAAAGGUCAUCAAUUCAACUUCAAGGUGCAGAUGACACCCCAUCCCAAAGACCCCAGGGCCCCUGGCACUGGAAGUGGUCCAGAGGCUGAUACUCUUUGGACACCAGCUCAGCUCCUCACUAGGCCCUACAUUAAGUUUAUGCUAAUUUAUGUAAAUGCAUACUAUUGAGGAAGAUAACUCAUAAAGGUUGAACUUUUAGCUGGAAAAACAUUUCUAAAAUGCCAAAGACAAGAUUGAAUGCUGGGCUUGUGCAGGGGGACUUGAGAGACAGCUGGAGCUGGAGGUCCAGGGAGAGGGAUGUCCCAACCUUUCUCCUCUGCUGUCAAGGAAAGAGCUGGCACCAGAGGGGGCACCAGCAAGCUGCAGACAGUGUCGCCAGUGACCAGGCCCAAGAAAGAGCAUGGAUCUGGGCUGUAGCAACACAGAAUUCAGCCCAAGUAAGGGGUCUCUCAACAAGACAGAUGUGGCUCUGGGUUAGACAGCCACAGCCUGCAUUCCCUCUGUCACUGCAAUGUCACCCAAGCAGUAAGAAUAACUGAGCCACACAAAGCCACCGGGGCUCACAGGUGAGUAUUAUGCCAGCCACACAGGACUGUGUGAGUCCCACUGAACUCUGGCCUUACGGUUUUGUGAUUUGAAGCAAGGCCUUCGCCCCUCUGAGCCUCAUCUGCCGUGUGGCAGGCUCUCCUAAGGCUCCCGGUGAAGCACUGGGAAGAGCAGCAGGAGACUGGUAGGGCCUGCACCAUGUCACUUCCUCUCUGAACCCAGAUUCUCUGCUCUAGAGUCAGGGCCUUGAGAAUAAGAGUAUGGAGAUCCCUUCCCACCCUCAAAUCUGUGAGGUCCAAAGAGGCCCCUGCUCCCAGGAGUUAGGUGAGGCACCAGGGCCACCUGAUACCCCUUCCCAUCACGCGCCUUGUGUCAAAGAAAUGUGGAGAGUCAAGUCCCUUUCUUCUGCUCACCCCCUUAAGAGAAUCCCUGGGGCUUGGGGUACUGGGCCCAUGUGGCCGCCUGUACCUGGGUCUUCCCUCCUCCAUUACCUGGAUGACGGAGCUGCUGUGCCCUCCUGCCCCCUUUGCAUCCCUGUCCUGUCCCUAGCUGCCGCGGGAUCAGCACGCCUUCACCGCUGUCCCGGCGGGAGCUCGGCCGGUCCUCCGCAGGGGCGCCGCGCCGCCACCAGGAGGCGCUGCGCCUCCUAGAAACUCCGGACUUUGCAGACGGGGGGCGGCGCCGCCAGAACAGGGGCGUGUGAACGGAAAGCCUACGCAGAAAAGUCAUCUGCAUGGCAGUGGCCCAAAGCAGUCUUCUCCUGGACGCCGAAUUCACGGAGAGAGCCUCCUGCUCCGGGAAUGACGUACUGCUAGAAAGUUGGUUCUGACGUCGGCCCAACUCCCCGCUUCCGCGUGGCCGCGGGCGGGACUCUUGCCCGGUGCAGGCGUGGCCUUUGGGCUCGUGGGGACCAGCCUAGUUCCCAAGACUGAGUCUCGUGGGGACAGCAGGGAAUUAAAUAGGGCAGGAGGGGCUUUGGAAUCAGCCAAUUCUCUCCCCACAAGAAGCUGCACGUCCCUGAGCAAGUCACCCAGCCUCUCAGAGGCUAUUUGGCCCUGGAGACGAUAGUGCCUCCCGGAAGGGGUGUUGGAACCCUCAGAGCAGUGUGUGCAGUUGCCGCCCCCUCCAGGCGGUUUGACCCUCUCACCCCCCAUCCCCCCGCUGGUAAAUGCAGCCUUUUGAAACCACUGUUCAACUGAGAAAAAGAGUACAUAAAAUAAACUAUAGCCAACCACUAGAAUGGCUAUGAUAAACAUAUAUAUAAAAACUAAAAAAGCAAGUGUUGGUGAGAAUGUGCAGAAGUUAGAACCCUUGCACACUGCUGGGAGGAAUGUAAAAUGGUGCAGCCGCUGAGGAAAGCAGGGUAGUCCUUUCUGCGAAAGUUAAACACAGAAUGGCCAUAUGAUCCAGCACUUCCACUUCUAGGCGUGUACCCCAAAGAAUCGAAAACUCAUAUCAAUAUGCAUGCACACACAUGUUCACUGAAGCACUACAUGCAAUCGUCAAAAAGUGGAAACAGCCUAAACAUCCAUCAACUGAUGAAUGGAUAAACAAAUGAGCAUAUCCACACAAUGGAAUAUUUUGUUGGUGGUGGUGCUGUUGAGUCCGUUCUGACUCAUAGUGACCCAGUGGACAGCAGAGGGAACCCUGCCUCAUCUUUUUGUGCCAUCCUCACCUUCCAGCACUAUAUCACACAAUGCGCUGCUGCUAUUCAUAGGGUUUUCAUGGCCAAUUUUUCAGAAGUGGGUGGCCAGGUCCUUCUUCCUGGACUAUCCAAGUCUGGAAGCUCCACUGAAACCUGUCCGCCACAGGUGACCCUGCUGGUAUUUGAAAUCCUGGUGGCAGAGCUUUCAGCAUCACAGCAACACACAGCCACCACAGUAUGACAAUCAAUAGACAGGUGGUAUGGUUCCCUGAGUGGGAAAAUGAACCCAGGCCGCAGUGGUGAGAGCGCCAAUCUUAACCACUAGAACAUCAGGGCUGGCUAAUGGAAUAUUAUUCAACCAUAAAAGAAAUGAAGCACUGACACAUGCUACAACAUGGAUAAAUCUUGAAAACAACAUGCUGCAUGAAAGAAGUUAGACACAAAAAGUCACAUAUUGUAUGAAUACCCAGAAAAGGCAAAUCCACAGAGACAGAAAGCAGAUGAAUGAUUGCAGGGGUUGGAGGGGGAGGGUAACAGAAUGGGUGCUUAAUGGGUCCACGGGUUCCUUUUUGGAUGAUGAAGAUGGGAACUAAACAAUAAUAUUGGUUGCACAGUACAAAUGCGCUAAACGCCACUGAAGUGUUCCCUUUAACACAGUUAAUUUUACAUUUGUGAAUGUCACCUCGAUAAAAUAAAUAAAUGAGCCAAGCCAGCCUCAUGUGCCCAAUGCACUUGGUCAUCCAGCUGUGCCUGGACUAAUGGGAGCCCAGCUGUCCCCUGGGACACUAGCCCUACAGUCUGCUGCUCUUAGAUCUGGCACCCACAGGCCCCCUCUAUGUCCCUGAUGGCACCUUCCUCUCCACCUCACCUGCCCUCACCCAGGCCCUCCACCCUCCACCUGCUUCAUGUCUUCUGUCUCCCUUGCUUCAUCCACCCCACUUCCAGAACCCACACCCCAAUUUCAGUUGCCUAGCAGCUGCCUCUAGGCCUGCCCUUCCUCCUCCCUCACCAGCCCUGACCUGGCCUUGAAGACCCCCACCUUUCAGGCCCUCCCGCCCACAGCCUGAUGCUGGGGGUCCCUCCUCCUGUCUAAGCUGAUUUUGCCCCUGUGGCGAACUCCUCCUGGGUCUUCAACUCCUGCCUCUAAGGCAGAUCCUUGGCUCUUUAACACUUGGUCUCCCUGAUUACAGGCAGAAGGGUCAGUUUUCCAUGACUCUAAUUUCCCUCUCCUCUUGGUCUUCUCUCUGAUGCAGCUGGUCAAGCCUCUAGGGAGAGUAGUUCACACAUGUUUCUCCAGUCACUCUGUGUCCUGCCACAUCCCAAACCUCACCAGCCCCACCAUGUCUUCACAGUGGCAACUCCAAGGAGCACAUUGCUGUACUGUCUUCUUGGAAUUGACAACUCCCCUCCUCGUUAACUUCACUCUUGCCCCUUCACAGCUCUCUUGGCUUCCUCUGAGCCCUCCUUCUCCCACUCCUUAAAUGAGAAGGAGUGUUCUCAGAGUUGUCUUGGACCCCUCCUCUUUGCGGUCUACCCCUGAGGGGUGCCCACAAAUAGUUGCCUUGUAUUUAUCAGGAUGGGCAGACUUUUGGGGACACAUAACCCAGAAUCUGAGGCUCACCUCACCAUCACUGAGGUCCUUCCUGGUUCAGCCAAGUUGUAUAAGGAUCCCCUAGGCAGCUCUCUAAGCUGUGACCUGGGAGAGCCACUUCAUCCCCUCGCCUCCAUCUGUGGCCUCCAGGAUCAUGAUCAAAGGAGAGACUAUUAGGUCCAGCCAUUCCUCACCUAAAACAGUGGCCAGAAAGACGUGGGGCCAGCCUGGCUCCCUGCAGCACACUUCUCUAUGGGAGCGGAGGCAGACUUUUAGGGUCAGCUGGCCUCUGUGCCACAACCUGCAUGCGGCAUCUAUGCUCAGAUCUCUCCUCUUAUCUACAGACAGAUGGCCCAGUGCCUCCUGAGUCUGCAGCCAUCUCCCUGUUAAACACACUCAUUCUACAGUUUUUGUGCCCAGACACCCAGCCUGAAGUCUUGGGGAGCACAGGUUACGUGUGUCACCAUGUAAAGAAGCCGGGCCCACAGAAACAACUCCAGGGAGCCCCACUUUGUGGCAACUCAUCUUCCCCAUCCUAGAUGAAAUCUAAGGUAAGUCCCAAGACUUUUCUGCCGUUCUUCAGUAAUUGAAGUCUUCUGUUCCUCAAAGUCAUUUUUAAGAGUCUCAUUUCAGUUGGAAUGCCCAAUGCUGUGUAAGCAUUCAAGCUGGCCUCUUGCAGUGGGCAGAAGGGACUUGGUUCACUGUGCAAUUCCUCAGCUCUGGGAGGAUCAAGGAGGAGAGGUAAGGGGCGAAGGUCUCCCCUGAUUACAGCUUCAGGAAUCCAUAUUCUCUGGGCUCAGUGAGUGUUUGGAGCUGCCCCUUCCUCUCAUGGGACCCACAGACACACCCACUCCCACCACUAGGUAUUCACUGCCUGCAGACCCUCCUCAUGAGCCCUGGGAAUCUUGUGAUCUGCCUACCCAUGGGCCGCAUCCCCUCUCACACAGUCUGCUGGGAGAACCAAGAAGCUCCCAGGCCAGCUCUCUUUCCUGGGUGGUGAGAAAUCCUACACAUACCCUCCAUCCUGACCAGCAACCAGCCAUGGGAGUGCAGCCAUCCCCAGGGUGGAGACCACCCACGGUCCCCGCAUCUCCAGCCCACCAAGCUCGUUUAGCCUCAGAACUUCCCAGAGCCUCUCCUUCCACCUGAAGAGGGCUCCCUGUGGCUAAGUCUCAGCUCACUGUCAACAUUCAGGGCACUCUCAGUCAAAAACCAUCUCAGAGGCACUUACCCUGUUACAAUGACUCUGUCUUCACUCUCCAUGUAGGACUGUCCCGUAUUUCUCUUAUUUAUUCAUCAGUCUAUUUGUUCAUUAUUUGCCCCACUCCCCAGUGGAAUACAAGCUCCAAGCAGCAGGGACUUCCCAGUACCUAGCAGAGCCCUACAUACAACAGGAGCUCAGUAAAACCUGGUCAUCAGCAUAUGGGCUGCUAAAGCUACAUGGCAGUAGGUGUAGAGGAAAAGGAGGGUCAGAGGGGGUGCAGAAGAGAGUAGGGGACCCAACACUGAUG